AGUGGAUCUUGGAAGUAGGCGUGGAAUCCAUCCGAGCAUGUCCACAAAGACCUGUAACCCACAAGGGGAUUGUACUGCUUUACAUGCAGGAGUACACCCACAGCAAAAAGGUAUCGAGUCUGCCUCAUUCAAUUAGAACGUUCAGAAUAUUCUGCAAACCAACUGCUACUGUAUCUCUUCUUCUGGUUAACUGUCUGACUGGGAGUCAUGCGAUUUGCAGAUAAGCAACAG